AUGCUGUUCAUUAGGAUGCUGAGGCGACUGGGGCAGAGCCCAGCCUGUGGCUGUUGGACACCUGUCCUGCCGGUCCGCUUUCUGGGCAUCUCCCCUCGGCAAAUUCCAGCAGAUGCUAACUUCCACUCUGCGUCUUUCUCUGACACAGACCAUCCACGAGUCUUAAUUACAGGGGGUCUUGGCCAGCUGGGAGUGGGGCUUGCUAAUCUUUUGAGGAAACGAUUUGGAAAGGACAAUGUGAUUUUGUCUGACAUAAGGAAACCCCCCGAUCAUGUCUUUCACAGUGGCCUGCAUAACAUCCUGGACGUCGCUGCGGAACACAAUCUGCGAUUGUUUGUGCCUAGCACGAUCGGGGCUUUUGGACCCACCUCUCCCCGGAACCCAACCCCCGAUCUCUGUAUUCAGAGACCCAGGACCAUCUACGGGGUGUCCAAGGUCCACGCGGAGCUCAUGGGAGAAAUUUCCGAUGCCUGAGAUAUCCUGGAAUCAUUUCAGCUGACUCCCAGCCUGGAGGAGGAACAACUGACUAUGCAGUCCAGAUUUUCCAUGAUGCCACAAAGCAUGGCAAAUUCGAGUGCAACCUGGAAGCCCGCACGAGGCUGCCCAUGAUGUACAUUGAUGACUGCCUCAGGGCCACCCUGGAGGUCAUGGAGGCCCCAGCCGAGUCCCUUUCCAUGAGGACCUACAAUGUCAGCGCCAUGAGCUUCACACCUGAGGAGCUGGCCCAGGAGGUCCUCAAGCACGUGCCGGAAUUCCAGAUCACAUACAACGUGGAUGCCGUUCGGCAGGCCAUAGCGGAUAGUUGGCCGAUGAACUUUGAUGACAGCAAUGCUCGGAAGGACUGGGGGUGGAAACAUGAUUUUGAUCUUCCAGAGUUGGUGACUGCCAUGUUGAACUUCCAUGGUUCUGAAACCAGAGUUGCCCAAGCCAACUGA
rnacentral:sRNA from 1 species